UGAGGAAUAUUGGUCAAUGGGCGAGAGCCUGAACCAGCCAAGUAGCGUGCAGGAUGACGGCCCUAUGGGUUGUAAACUGCUUUUAUAUGGGAAUAAAGUGAGGGACGUGUCCCUUAUUGCAUGUACCAUACGAAUAAGGACCGGCUAAUUCCGUGCCAGCAGCCGCGGUAAUACGGAAGGUCCAGGCGUUAUCCGGAUUUAUUGGGUUUAAAGGGAGCGUAGGCUGUUUGUUAAGCGUGUUGUGAAAUGUAAGAGCUCAACUUUUAGAUUGCAGCGCGAACUGGCAGACUUGAGUGAGCACAACGUAGGCGGAAUUCAUGGUGUAGCGGUGAAAUGCUUAGAUAUCAUGACGAACUCCGAUUGCGAAGGCAGCUUACGGGAGCGCAACUGACGCUAAAGCUCGAAGGUGCGGGUAUCGAACAGG
rnacentral:rRNA from 1 species